UCCCCAUUCUGCAUCAAACACGCCAAACAGGUUGGGGGAGGAAGAGAGCUCCCUAACCCUCACUCAAACUUCACCUCUCAAUAACUUUUGAUCCGGAGUUCCGAUUGACAAACCGUUUGCGACUACACGUUCGCCGUGACGAGCUCUACGAAAUCCAUGAAACAAUUUGGUAGGUAACUCAUUAUUUUCUUCUCAGCCAGAUUCCCCUAAUUUCGGAAAUUCAUGAACAAUUAAGUUAAAAAUUGUUCAAUUCUUGUGUUCUAGGUUCAAGUUAGCUUCCGGGACUUAUGGGUUUAAGCUAUUGAGUAUAUGGGUAUGGUGUAGAUUAAGUGGGUAUAUAUGCAUUGGAAUUUAAUUGAGAAUAUUUGGAGGCUUGUUGGUGAUCAAAGCUUAGUUUGUGGCUGUUUUACUUGAGCUUGGAGGGGCUGUAAUUUUGUGUUGAGAGGCUGCCUUGGGUGAAUUAAGUGAUUGACCAAGAUGCAGGUCGAGAGGCUCCUCGCUAGGCGUCUGGAUCCUGCAAAGCGAAGUAGUCCUUGGGUGUAUUUUGGUUUUCUAUUUGUAUAUAUGUAUAUAUGUAUUUAGCUUAUUCUCCAAGUAACUUAUGUAUGCUGCUCCUCUUAGAGGUUCAGGGAGAGAUAGGAGUUUAUUUUGGUAUUUUUGUGUAUUUUAGGGAUACCUAUGUAUGUUCAUAUGUAUAUAUAUAUCCUCUGGCCAGCCUUAGCUUCGUAGGCUGAGUCAGGGGCUAGUUAUGUUGUUUCCUUGGCUUUCCUUUAUUCUUUUGCUUAUCUUUAUCAUGUUCCUAUUAGGUUUCUUAGCACGCAAGUAAUCCUUUUCGUUGAGCGUUGCACUUUUUCAUUUUGUGAUUUUUGUUUA